rnacentral:sRNA from 7 species
GUUAUGGGGUCAUUUUUGGGCCACCUCCCCAGGUAUGACUUCCAGGUAUUCUCUGUGGCCUGUCACUUUCCUCCCUGUCUCUUUUAU